CCUUCCGACGUCUCUCAAAACCAGACGUCUCAGAUAUGUCAAGCGGGUGCUACAUCGGUAAGCGUCGCCGGAGACAAAUCCGACGACGAAGGAGGCGAGCAGCGGUCUAGGGUUUUCAUCUACGGUCUCAAUGAUGACCACAGACUACCGCGGAUGAUCAUUCCGAGCAGAUUGGUGGCAGUGAAUGAUGAUUUUCUUCCAUCAUCUGAGAUUUUGGAUUAGAUUCAUUGGUGCUGAAUUAUUCAAUGCAGCGCCAUCAGACCAAAAGUUGUCAUGUGCGCCUACCUUUGGACCAGACUUCGCUAGCGAAUAUACAGCGCCUUCCUUAGACUUAGGACCAUUAGAAUGACCAUAUGGUAAGCAGCAUGUUCUUGAUUGAUAAUGUGAUGUCAAUGAUAGUUUGGUUGUUGUAUUUAGCACACUAAAAGCUUUAUUAAAAUUUAUUGAGCUGGGACAUUUAUUCGAGUUACAAACGUUCUUUUUUUUAACAGUUAAAGAAAAUAAGUAAAAAUACAUUAUAUAGAUUUCAAGCUGGUGAACGCUCAUGAACAUGAGAUAAACGUUGUUUCUGACUCUUUUGAAUACACAGAAGGAUUGGAGUGUUGUUUACUCAAUUGAAUAUGUGGCUUAUAUGGGUUUUGUUGCUAUUCAAGUACUUUCAUGGAAAACUGUUUGGAAUCCAUCCAUCAACUCGAUGAUUACAGUUGGCGCAGAUUGGAAGAAACUUUUUCCGGCUACUAUGAUUCAAGCUCGCCUAAAGGAAUCGUCUCCAAGAGGAACCAGAGGAAAUAGUUGAACGAUAGGCUCUUUCACUUUAAGCAAUGGUCCCCAAUAUUAGUAAGAUGGACAAGGCAACAAUUGUCAAAGAUACGAUUGAUUACAUUCAACUAUUGCGUGAUCAAGAGAGAACAAUUCAAGCCGAGUUGAAUGAACUUGAAUCUUGGAAAUUAGAGAUCCAGAAUUUGGAUUUAUCACCGACGAAGAUGUGACAACUGGCACUUUUCCAUGCAUUUCGUACAAUAAUUAAAUAGUAAUAUGUGCUUUACUGACUGUGCAUGAUCUAGUUUACAAGAUGAAUAAACUUCUGAUUUCUGAUAUA